GGCGAACGGGUGAGUAACACGUGGGCAAUCUGCCCUGCACUCUGGGACAAGCCCUGGAAACGGGGUCUAAUACCGGAUACUGAGCUACUUGGGCAUCCAAGUGGUUCGAAAGCUCCGGCGGUGCAGGAUGAGCCCGCGGCCUAUCAGCUUGUUGGUGAGGUAAUGGCUCACCAAGGCGACGACGGGUAGCCGGCCUGAGAGGGCGACCGGCCACACUGGGACUGAGACACGGCCCAGACUCCUACGGGAGGCAGCAGUGGGGAAUAUUGCACAAUGGGCGAAAGCCUGAUGCAGCGACGCCGCGUGAGGGAUGACGGCCUUCGGGUUGUAAACCUCUUUCAGCAGGGAAGAAGCGAAAGUGACGGUACCUGCAGAAGAAGCGCCGGCUAACUACGUGCCAGCAGCCGCGGUAAUACGUAGGGCGCAAGCGUUGUCCGGAAUUAUUGGGCGUAAAGAGCUCGUAGGCGGCUUGUCACGUCGGUUGUGAAAGCCCGGGGCUUAACCCCGGGUCUGCAGUCGAUACGGGCAGGCUAGAGUUCGGUAGGGGAGAUCGGAAUUCCUGGUGUAGCGGUGAAAUGCGCAGAUAUCAGGAGGAACACCGGUGGCGAAGGCGGAUCUCUGGGCCGAUACUGACGCUGAGGAGCGAAAGCGUGGGGAGCGAACAGGAUUAGAUACCCUGGUAGUCCACGCCGUAAACGGUGGGCACUAGGUGUGGGCAACAUUCCACGUUGUCCGUGCCGCAGCUAACGC
rnacentral:rRNA from 1 species